rnacentral:lncRNA from 1 species
CCAACGACCAAAGCAAAGGACAGCAGAACUGACUGACACAGCUCAGAAAAUAUCCAAAGCUCUGUAUGCUCUGGAAAGGAAGACAAGAAAUGCUAAAGACUCUGGAUAUUGCUCUGUUUCUAUAAGGUCCCACCCAUAUACCAUCUCUUCUUUUGGAUUUCCUUUGGCAGGGUUCCCUUGUAUGGAAGUUCUCAGGAGAACAACACUCUCAGAGUCCCACUGUCUCAAAGAAUUCUUAAUGGACAGCUAUACUUGGCCCCAAGGUUUCAACCUCACACUGAAGAAAGUGACAUAAGAAAACACAAGUCCCAGUGCUAUCAGGGGCUAUCUGGAAAAGCUGCUUAAACAGCAAGUGAAAGAAGGCUCUCCCCUACCCCGUUCUAGUUAUAAACAUCACAUCUCUUAACAUACGGCCAAGAUGAUGAAGCUGAUGGAACUCACCCUGAAGUUAUUUGAAGGAUCCUUGAGACUCUUUUGGAUUGCUGCUUGGAGAACAUUCCUGUAACUUGUCCCUGCUCCUUGAACUAUAAAAGCAGAAGGGAGGUACUGAGUUAAAACUUACAAAUUAUUAUCAAAUAAAUCUUCAAUAGUGGUUCA